rnacentral:rRNA from 1 species
UACGGAGGGUGCGAGCGUUGUUCGGAAUCACUGGGCUUAAAGGGCGUGCAGGCGGGACGGAGGGUGUCACAGUGAAAUCCCUCGGCUCAACCGAGGAAUUGCUUGGCAAACCGCCGUUCUUGAGGCAGGUAGAGGCAACUGGAACCAUGGGUGGAGCGGUGAAAUGCGUAGAUAUCCAUGGGAACGCCGGUGGCGAAAGCGGGUUGCUGGGCCUGUCCUGACGCUGAGAAGCGAAAGCGUAGGUAGCAAACGGG